GAUGAAGAACGUAGCGAAAUGCGAUAAGUAAUGUGAAUUGCAGAAUUCAGUGAAUCAUCGAAUCUUUGAACGCACCUUGCACCCUUUGGACUGCUCCAAAGGGUAUGCUCGUUUGAGUGUCAUUGUACUCUCACACUCUCUGAUCCUUUGGAUUUGGGGAGCAGUGGACUUGGGUGCUUGCUGCUUCCUUGUGGCUCACCUGAAAUGCAUCAGUGCAUCUCUCGAUUGGACAUAGUACGGCGUGAUAAGUGUCUUCGCCGGCACCUCAUAUGAGGGUGGCCGAUCGGGAGCUCUGUGCUUUCAAACCGUCUUCGGACAACGCUGACAACUUGAACUCAAAUCGAGUAGGACUACCCGCUGAACUUAAGCAUAUCAAUAAGCGGAGGA
rnacentral:misc_RNA from 1 species